CCUACGGGUGGCAGCAGUAGGGAAUAUUGCUCAAUGGGGGAAACCCUGAAGCAGCAACGCCGCGUGGAGGAUGAAGGUUUUCGGAUUGUAAACUCCUUUUGUUAGAGAAGAUAAUGACGGUAUCUAACGAAUAAGCACCGGCUAACUCCGUGCCAGCAGCCGCGGUAAUACGGAGGGUGCAAGCGUUACUCGGAAUCACUGGGCGUAAAGAGCGCGUAGGCGGGAUAGCAAGUCAGAUGUGAAAUCCUAUGGCUUAACCAUAGAACUGCAGUUGAAACUGUUAUUCUAGAGUAUGGGAGAGGUAGGUGGAAUUCUUGGUGUAGGGGUGAAAUCCGUAGAUAUUAGAAGGAACACCAAUAGCGUAGGCAGGUUGCUGGGACGGUUCUGACACUAAGGCACGAAAGCGUAGGGAGCAAACGGGAUUAGAUACCCGAGUAGUC
rnacentral:rRNA from 1 species